rnacentral:rRNA from 1 species
AGCAGCCGCGGUAAUUCCAGCUCCAAUAGCGUAUAUUAAAGUUGUUGCAGUUAAAAAGCUCGUAGUUGAAUUUCGGGGUCAGUAGGUUGGUCGUGCCACCGGUACGUACUGGUCUCACUGAUUCCUCCUUCCUGAUGAGCUGUAAUGCCAUUAAUUUGGUGUUGCAGGGAAUCUGGACUGUUACUUUGAAAAAAUUAGAGUGUUUAAAGCAGGCUAACGCUUGAAUACAUUAGCAUGGAAUAAUGAAAUAGGACGUUCGAUCCUAUUUUGUUGGUUUCUAGGAUUGACGUAAUGAUUAAUAGGGAUAGUUGGGGGCAUUAGUAUUCAAUUGUCAGAGGUGAAAUUCUUGGAUUUAUUGAAGACUAACUACUGCGAAAGCAUUUGCCAAGGAUGUUUUCAUUAAUCAAGAACGAAAGUUAGGGGAUCGAAGAUCGAUCAGAUACCGUCGUAGUCUUAACCAUAAACUAUGCCGACUAGGGAUCGGAUGA